UGAUUGGCUGCAGUUGCAAAAAACUUUCGAAAUCCUAGAAAUUCUCUAGCCGAUAUCCAAUCAGAUAAACCUUUUACGCGUCAAAAGUUAUAUCAGUAUGAAUGUGUGGAGGCUUGGAAAUUUGCGCUGUAUUUGCCACUUUGAUUUGAAUUCUUUCGUGAAAAAUUUUAGAAUGCGUCCUUCCUUGUAAUAUUAUGGCAAGCUAAGUAACGAUCGUGAUGUGAUGGACGGAGUUAUUAUAUCAAGAGUUUCAAAUAUGUUGCUCCUAAGAAAUGUACAAAAGAUACGUUUUUGCGAUAUUCCAUUAUUACAAAGAUCAUUCAACACAAACCAAACACGUUUCUUCUAUGAGGACAAUAGCAAAACGUUUCAGAACUUUAAAUUGAAGCAAGCUAGAAUGCAGUGCGACGAUGGACUUCCUGUCUAUUUAAAGAGCGGCACACGCGAUAAAAUAUUGUUUAACUUUACACUAGCUUUGCUUUUAUGUAACACUAUCGCAUCGAUUUACGGAAUCAGAGAGAUGUUCAGAAAAUUUUGAUCUUACAUAUAUUAUAUUGUAAUAAUAUUCUUUUUCUAAUCGCGCAUGUCGCCUAAAAUAAAUAUCUAGAUUUUAAUAGAAGUGUUCUGGGAAUUAAUUUGUAAACUCUCUUUAUAAUAUAUUGAACAAUUUCAAUUUAUAAAACACUAAUACAUGGUAUAAUUAUUAAGCACACAUACAGUUAUUAUAUUCAUGCAUAUGUGUACAUUUAUGUUUUUAACGCCACUCCGAAUAUUGGAAGAGAUUUAAUAAGGCACUUGAUUGCUCUAUAGAUACCAAUAUGAAAAUUAAAUAUCCAUCUGUAAAUAUUGCAUGAUAUAUUACAUAUGGCAGAUAACUUAUAUAACUUAUUUACAUUUAUGAUUUAAUAUCUGAUUCGCUACAUACAAAUACAAGCAUGAUACAAUAUAGCUAGAGGAACGCGAGAAAUUUUAUAUAAGCAAUAUCUAAAUGCAAAAAUCUGAUAAUAAUAUAACUCACAUACCAACUUAAUGUUUACAGUUAAUGAACAAAUAAAAUAUCUAUUAUUACACUUAAAAAUAUAUGUAAUGAAAAUAUGAUGAAAGAAGAGAAAAUAAUAAUGAAGUUAUAAAAUAGCUAUAUAAAAUAUUUGUAUCUCUCUUUUGAUUACUAUGUAUAAAUUAAUACAUUUUUUUUUUUGUAUAUUUGUACAAUUUUAUGCAAAGUAAAAAUUUAAUUAUACAUCUGUAAUAUGAAAAAUUAUAUAGUACUUUUCCACCAAACCAUUUUCGCAAUUCAUUAUAUAAAUAUCUCACAUAGGAAAAAUAAAUUUUAUACUUCCUAUAUUGGUAAUAUGUAAGCACACAUUAAAAAAUACAACAUUUUUGAUAUCACAGGGAAACAUAUUUACAUAGUUAUAAGUAUACAGUUGUUUCACUAGUAACACUUGAUGAAGUUACUUACGAAACAAUAUUUAAUUGUCUUGACUAUUUUAUUACUUUUUAGUAUUUUUCUGUACAAAUUUUCUGUACCUCUCAUAGUAUCAAUCUUUUAUUGACAUUAUUUGAAAUUUAUAUAUUUAAAAUAAUGUAAAUAAGAUUGAUACUACGAGAAGCAAAAAGACAUUUUUAAUACGAUUUUUAAAACUUUUAAUAUAUAGAGGUACUUGUUUUGUAUUAGAAACCAUAAUAGCAUCUUGUUUUAGACUAUUUAUAAUUGCACUAACGUAUCUGGUUUUUCCAUGCUUUUCGUUUUAUUUAUACAGCUCUUGACUUUUUAACAGUCU